AAACGCAAGCCCUGAUAAACAUGCCAAAAAUGCACAUGAUGGGGAAUUUGUAGACUAUGGAAAUAAUACAAUCCAAGCAGCCAGCAAGAGGCAUGCAGCAGGAGAGGAAAAUGUGCAACAUUUGUUUUUAUUGAAAGAUCAGGAAAAUAAAAAGCCACAAGCUCCAGAACACCAUUCAGUAACACAAUAAAGCAAGAGACAAAAGAACACAAGCCUCCAAGCAUUUACAGCAAACAUUGCAGAUUCAUCUUUUAGACAGUUGGAGAAUUACUGUCUGACGGUAUCAAGAUACUUUUCUAAAGCUAAGAAGGAAUCUCCUUGUGAAUCACAUGUGGAGAUGUGGAUCUACAAAGCAAGCAUGUCUCUUUACUCUGGAGAUCAUCAUGUGCAAACGCCCUCAAACACAGGCAGGAGAAGAGCUGUUGGACCUAUCCAUAUUCAUCUCCACCAGGGCUUUCUACCUUCUAGUGAAGCACUUGGUUUCACUGUGCUGUCUUCAAGGGAACCUCCCACUCUGCCGCACCGGAUACAGCAAAGCAAAGCACAGCAGCAGCUCCAAAACCGGGUUCGGUCGGCUACCAUCAUUCAGGCAGCAUGGAGAGGCUACCAAGCUCGAAGAGAGCUGGAUGAAAUGAACAAAGCCGCUGUCAAGAUUCAGGCAGUGUGGAGAGGCUACCAAGCUCGAAGAGAGCUGGAUGAAAUGAACACAGCCGCUGUCAAGAUUCAGGCAGCUUAUCGAGGCCAUAGGAUACGGCAGGCAUUGCCCCUUGGGUUUUACAAUUGCUUAAGAGAUAAAAAGGCUGCACUGGGUGGAAAGAAGAAAGAAGAAGAGGGAGUUAUGUCAGAGCUUGGAGUGCCUGGCACCCUGGAGUGCAACAUGUUGUGUGAGGAAACCUCCCAUGCACCAGCUGCUACCUCCAAAACUGAGAGUCCAGCAGCCUCUCGCAGGGACAGACAUGGUCCAAGCUCUGAUAUUAUUCCUGGGGCAGCCGUCUACAAUCCAGAGGUUUAUCUCAUGCCCAGCAAAGCUGUGAACCAUGAGGACAGUUUACUUGCCUUUGAGAUUCUCCCAGCUGUGACGUCUGAACAGCAAGUCCAGAAUGCUGCAGAUCAAAUUCAGGCUGCAGGGGGAGAGCACCAAAGCAUAGAAGAGCUUGGUAAAAUGGAAAAAACAGCUGAGAAAAAAUCAGAGCAGAACCUGGUCUUAGCCUACAGUUGUCAACUCAAACAAAACCUUUGUGAAAAUCAUCACAUUUCAGAUAUAUGCAGUAUCACUGGAGUGCUGAAUUGGACUUCAAAGCCCAAAGACAUGGUGCCAUACCCCAAACAAAGCCUCACUGUGCAGAUAGAAAUGAAAAAGGGAGAAAAAGCAUCUGACACUGAGAGUGAAGCCCCAUCCAUUAGGAAGGUUGAUGUGCACACAGUGGUGAGGAACCUGCUGGGCUCCCAGCGGUGCCCCAUCUCCCUCCACGUGUCCAGUCCCAGCGGAACCGUGGAGUGCUCUCACAGGGACAUGGCCACGGGGCAGCUCCAUGGGCUGUACGCUGUCAGAGGACUUGGGGGCUUGCAACCUGCUUAUGUCUCCAUCUGCAUCAGAGUGGUGGAAGCAGAGCUUGGCCGUGGCUGAAACUCUCGUCCUGGAGCAGCUCUGGCAGCAUCCACCAUGGGCUGCCAUCAGCCCUUCACACAGACCUCCUGCUGCUGCCUGCCGUGGUCACAUCUCUCAAG
rnacentral:lncRNA from 1 species